GAGCACCGUAGCGGGUGCCUGUUGCUCCAGCUUGGGAGGGCUAAAGAGUUGGUUGGAGGGCGAGUUUGCUCGAGCCCAUGUCAAUGCCGGCCCACCGAAAGGCAUGUGGUGCGCAGUCCCCGCCCGGACGUCAGAGAAAAAGGUGCCAGCGCGGCGCAGAGAAAAGAAGAAACAGAGCCCACAGCUGCUGUUGUUGUGAGGUGCUGCGGGUCCUGGGCCCGGCGCCAAGGUGCGCUGUCCGUCGUUGUUGGGUGCAGCCCUGUGUAGGCCACAAGGAGUUGUGAGCCGGGCUGACCUGUGUUGAAGAGGCCCGUUAGGAAGAACGGGUGCUCUUGUUGGGCCGUUGUCACUGCGAGGAGGCAGUCCGGCCGGUCGACGAGAAAAGCACUUGGGCCGUUGUUGAAGGAGGCAGACCAAGACCACAUCAGAGGUGUUGGUGGUGCGCGCGCGCGCACGUAGUUGGGCCAUCGCCGGAGGGGGAUAUUGCCCUCCGGCGGGUCGUCGCUGUGGUAAAAAGUUGUUCGAUGCUCUGGGGGGAUUCGUCGUGGGCUGCUGAAUAGGGGGUGUGGCAUUGGCCCGGGAGGCCGGCAAAUGCCGGCGGGUUAAUUGGGUCCGGGGGUUCGCCCCUCGGCCCGAAGCCCCUUGAUCUCGCCGAGCUGGGCUUCCACGGAGUUAGAGCGGCAAAGGGGUUGAGCCAACCCUCAGUCCGAGGGUUGUCGCCGGGCUGUGCGCGCCACACGCGCAGCCCGCUUCGUGGAGCGUGGGCUCGCAAACUAUAUCCCCUCCUACCAACUCUUUUGUUCUUCUGUUUUUUUUUUCUGAAAAGGAUAUAAUUCUGAACAGUGGCUUCUAUUUUCUUUGGUACUGCUUUGUACUGUAUGUGAAUUAGAUCACUAUUGGUUUACAAUAAACAAGUUAGUACUCCUUCAAAAGAGGCUGAUCAUUGCCGUUGAUGGGCCGGCCUCAUCAGCAAUAGCUGGCGGGGGUCCUGUGUUUGUUGGCCGUUGUGACAUGGUGCAUAACUAGUUUGUUGCAGUGCAAGUACGAACCAUGCGGACAGCCGAGAAGCGAGAGCUUCAUCAGGUGCCACUAGUGUCUGAUGGCAUUAAGGGGUUGGUGCGAUAAUCUCCCAUUUCACCAAGUUAGGUACGAUAAUGUCUCAUUUCACCAAGUUAAAUAAAAUAUAUAAAAUUUUAGCUAAGAAAUACACUUAUAACUGAAUUGACACUAGCUAAGCUAUGACAGUUGCAGGCAUUGGUAAGCUACCGUAGUUCUAUCGAGUCCUCUUCUCUGUUCAGCCUCCAAGCCACAUUUUUGGUCGUAUAUAUACAGUCAGUAUAUGUACUGUCAGUGCACAACAGCCAGUAGGCAGGUACAAAAAGAGCCGUGAGCGACAUGCCCACAAGAAGAUUAGCGAAAGCGCGCGCAGACUAAAUGCAUUCUCGCACUCUGUCUCUGCAAACCAAGCGCUCCGUUUUAGUCCCAUACCGCUAGUCACAUUCUGAGCAACCCAGCUUAAGAAGCCACACCUCCCCGGGGGCAGCCGCCGAGCUCGGUCGCGCGAGCCUGUCACUCUAGUCAGCUGGAGGGCUAAAGAGUUGGUGUGGUGAAAUGGCUCUGGCCCCGGCCCAAAAACGGGUUCGGCCUCUGCCUGGGUUGUGAGUUCUUGAGCCUAGGAAAUUGGCGAGGUCCAUCCGUCCUUUGAACGGUAGGGCAAAGCCGAAUCGUUGGACGCUUCGGCAUAAGAGAACGGUCGGCCCAACGGGGUUGCCGGAGCCCAAGCUGCGUCUCGUCAUGUGUCCAUCCGGGUGGUCAAGGGAGGCAACAACCCACUCCCUGAUCUUUCCCAUUAAGGUAAUCGGGACUCGCAUGGACACUCCCUGGCUCACUCACUAACCCCUCCCAUCAACUCUUUUCCUUUUCUUACUUUUGUCCUAACGUUCGAUGGCAGUUUUAUCAUUGAUAUAAUCGUUUUGGGCUAGGCCUAAAUUAAUCUGUCUGGAUGUUUUCAGAAAUGCACUGCUCUUUCAGGUUCAGUGCAACAAUCAGCAGUCUUGCAUGCUAUACUGUGUUGUAUAUUUAUCCUGUGCUACACUCACAUCUUUCGUUAGUUAAUUUAAGGUUUGCGAACUUCAAAGAUGAUUGCUCAAGGUAUAAAGCACAGAAUUUGAACUUUGUUCAGGUUCUGCCUUUUUGGUUUUCGAAACACACCUAAUAUUUACAUGCAUCUCUACAUAGAGAUGAUAGUUUUUAUUUUGUACCUGAAAUCACACAAAAAGGAAACAUAUAUUUUCCUGGGCACCCCAAAAAUAAAACCUUUAAUAUCCACUCAAAAAAAACAUGGUUCUUAGUCUAAGGCUACACCUGCUGAUUAUCCAGAUAGUUGGAUUUUGUAUAGUUGUUAUGAAUCACGACUUGAUCAUUAUAAUCCGCGCGCACUGAUACACUUCUUUUUAAACCUCUAAGGUCAGUCUCAGUGGAAGUUUCAUCUGAGUUUCAUUCACAUUAAAUAGGUUGCCACAUAUGCAUUUUCGAUGGCAUGCAGUGUAUUUAAGAAGAGAGAAGAAAUGAGUUUCAUCUAGAUGAACACGAUUAUCUUCUCUAUGAGUCUUGAAUAUGAAACCAUAGAAUGAAACUCUCCAUUGAGAGUGGGUAUUUCAUCCAAGUUUCAUUUCAUUUCACAUAACAUGGCAAUCUUGGAAAUAACACUAUGAAACUCUUCACUGAGAUUGGCCUAAUAUAUUUCAGUAUCCUAUGACUUUUCUUAUGUAGGGCCUGUUUAGUUUCUCAUUUGGGCCAAAAAAAUUAUAUUUUGGUCCACCAUUAUGCUGAAUGGAACUAAACAACAUCCAAAUUUUUUGGCAAAAUGAUUUUACCAUUUUGCAUUCUAGAUUUUAGCCUCGAAAGCCCUCCAAAAAAAAGCCAAAAUAGCAGCUUAAUGUAUUUUAGACCCUGAAAAUUUUGAUAUUUUGGAUGAAGCUAAACAUACACAUGAAAAAAUUGACAUUUUGCAUUUCAUCAUUUCAAAAUACUUGGUAUUUUGUAUUUUGCAUUUCAUGAGGAACUAAACACACCCAUAUUGUGGUUUCCUUUACCUAAAGUAUUGUUCAGAUGCUAACAUACAGUAGUUGUGGGGCAUUCCCACCACCAAGAUUUUACUCAACAGUGUAAUGCUUACCAGUUACCAGAAACACAAACAGAACGGAGGACAUGAGACGGAAAACAACGAUUCAGAAAACUAGGCUACACGAUGCAGUACAUGGUUGUAUGUUACUGUCCUUGUUAGCUAACAUAUAUACCUAUCCAAUCUGCGCUUUGCAAGUUGAACAGCGGUAGUGUACUCAUUGAUACUGCGGUGCCAUCUAGUUCUUGCCUGCUCAAGGCGUGGUCUGUGGUAUAGGAUCCUGGUCAGUGUGAAAUCCAGCUUAGCUGGACCAUAUCUUGGUUUGUCCUCCGCAUCUCACAGUUAUUCCUUUUUGCUUUUCUUACUGGACUUAGUAAAGUUUGACAAGCAGGUGAUUGCUAGAAGCACCACAGCAACGGCAAAAACUGCAGGGAAAAAAAAUAGGGGAAUUACGAAGAUAUCCAAAGGUCCAACGCAAAACAUCUACAAGGGGGAGGAGCAACAAUGUAGAUUUAUAUAUAUGGUUAGAAUGAUUGAGAUGGAUGUGAGUAGCAUACCAGCUAUGGUGACAAAUAACAUCAGAGCAAGCCGGUAUCGUAUUAGCCAUGGGAGCUCUGUUUCGAGAGUACAGUGACGUUGGAAUGUAUGUGGUUGUCUUUUGAUUGCGUGCACACCCGAGGGCUGCAGUUCAGAUAUAGGGAACUCUACACUGUGAACAGAACGACCCUCAACAUCUUUUAGUUCAAGUUUAAUCCGGGGAGGUACAGCAUUCCAAUCAAUUUCAAUUGCUCCGAAAUUUGGUAGGCCUGCAACAGCAAAACACAAAUGAUUUAACAGUACAAGUAUAACCAAAACUUCGCUAAAAAAAAGUAUAACCAAAAAAGAACACAGAAGGAAAUAAGAUAAGCAUAGAGAAAUCUUAGCAAUGCCUUAAGAUGUCGUAUGAUCACAUUUUACAGUAUAAAUGAACCGCAUUUUUUUGGAGAGUUUUAAUUUUGUCCAGAAUCAACAGCUUACUGGUUCAAAAAGAACAGAAAGGACCUCUUGAUCUUAAAAAACUAAGAAAUUCAGUAAACCAAAACAAGCUAUCCGACACUGAUGGAUUCAUACUUAAAAGGUUCUACCCAAGAAAGAGUUGUACCUGUUGUGCAUGAUUUAUACAGGCAAUUUGGGCUCAAAACUCGCAUGGUAGUUGGUGUUAGUACUGCUAGAAGUCUCAUAAGAGGUUGAAAUACUUCUGGCACAGCGUUGUCGACAGACUGGGUAAGACCACUCGAAGUAACAUCGUACGACGGGUAUUGAGCUCCACAGUCGAAUCUGGUGAUUUCUCCGAAAUGGACAUCCCCACUAAUAAAUAUCACUCCAGGUCUCUGCAAAUAGUCACACAGUCCAUAGAUGUUUCAUAAGAGUAAUGAACACAUAAACAUCUGGUAUCAUGGUAUCUUCUAGAAGACUCAGGAUUCCUCAAAAGUUAAUUGAAGGAGAUAUGCUAGCAACUAGUGCAUUUUAUUAUUUACGGAAACGCUUAGACCCUGAAUAAUAGCUUGUCCACAGGAGUAAUAGUAACCAACCUUACUACUAUCAAUCAAUCUGAACAGCCUUUCUCUCUCCCUUGGGAAGCGUGCCCAGGACUCCACAUAGAACAAAGGCCCAAUAGUAGCUGAAAGAUUAGACACUACCUGUACAUUGGAACAUAGCUAUUAUACAAAUGGAAGUUACAAUGCAUAUAGCAUAUAAAAAAAUGAAAGAAAAUGCAAUUGCUUAUUAUAGUGAAAGCAUUAAGACAUAAAAUAUAGAGUGAUGAAUCAGUAGGAUAUUCUCUGCCCAUUGAAGAGCUGCCAAAUAGGUGAAUGUAUUAUUCAAAUUCCGUUACCAAAUACAAUCACAUGUAUCAUCUGUUUUAUUUGAGGGAAAAACAGCCUACCAAAUAAUACCAGAUAUUUUAUACUAUCACUAAAUAAAACUUCUGGUAAGGUGCAUUUCCGUAUACAGAUCUCUGACAUUGUAAAAGUUUGUGAAGUUUUUUCAAAACUUCUAUGCAGCCCAUUAGUGGGAAACUAAGGUGGCUUUUGCUGUGAAAACUUGUGGUAUAUGAUUUCUACCUGACCAUCUUUGGUUCCUGGCUAGAUUAGUUUUUGAUUUUUUGAAGUACAGUUUUUUAAGUUUUCAACAAGUAUAUAUAUACGUGGUUACUUCUCCAAGUAUAUAUAUACGUGAAAUAAUAGGUUUACCUGGAUCGAAGAUCCAAUGAUGGUGAUCUCUGAUUGAGGACCAUGAAGCUCCCUCUCUAGCCACUGCCACUGGGGAUCUCCCAGAAUAGUUCCAUCACUUAAUAGCGGGUCUCUGUGAUAUCUGGUAUCCAGCAAGAUUACCUGCAAUACAUUGCUGUUACCUUUAAUUCAAAAUUGAUAAUAAAAUACAAUUUACUACAGAAGGGGCAAAGGCACUAGUUCAUAUUUCUUUUUAUUUAGCCCGGAUGGAUGACCAUUCUAGACCUUAUACCAGCUUUAUGCCCAGUACCACCUGUGGAUACUUGCAACGGCUACUGGGAUGAUGAUUUACAUUGAUUGGGACAUGCAAAGAUGUAACAUAUGUGUAUGUUGUAGGGAUGUACUAAACUUAAUAGGGCAAUAUCCGAUGUAAAUUGGAUAAAUAUCAAAUAUCCAUAAAAAUUAAAGAUGUAACAUAUGCGUAUGUUGCGAUGUACUAAACUUAAUAGGCCAAUAUCUGGUGUAAAUUGGAUAAAUAUCAAAUAUCCAUAAAAUUUUUAUGUGAAGUUCUCAAAGUUUACAUAUAUAAGAGGAGAACAUGCUCUAUAUCACUCAAAAAUUUGAACCUAAGGCUACCAGAUAUCAAAGGGGGAAACAGUAUAGCAAUGUGUCGCACUGUUCAUAACUGUUUUUUGGUUUACAAGAAAUAUGCAUUUUUUGUCUUUGUAUCCUGCAAACAUAAUUGACCUUGAUCUUUAAUUUUGCCCAUUAUCUAUUGUUGAACACACACUUUCCUAUUGUUUUUAUCUUGAGAAUCUCUAAAAUACAAAGCAAUGAAUGGAUUCAAAUUCACAAAGUAGCAAGUUAUUGAGAACUUGGACAUCAUUAAAUACAAAGGAUCAAUUGCUGUGAAAAUUUUGCAUUCAAUGAACAAAUAACGAAGCCAAAACAGAGCUAAGGAUAAUCAGAAGAGAUACAUGAUCCAUUUUGUGAAUUUGUUUUGAAGGAAAUUUUACUAGACUCAUAAUAAUGAAAAAAAAAGGAGAACAUAGCAAAGACUUAAAGAAUCACUGCAUCAUGAGUACGAUGAUGUGUUAUAUCACCCUAUUUGAAAAAGAAAUUAGAUAAACCUUCUCUAGUUAACAGCAAAAUUGAACAUAACAUAAGAGAGACUAAACCUUCACACGUUUUCCUUCAGGGCCAAACAUGUACGAGGCAUAAACACCAGCUUGCUUCCUCCUAAACAAACAACAAUAGAGUAUUAAAUUAUCAGGCAGGGAGAUUUCUUCCCUUGUUGACCGUUAAAAAAUGAAUAAGAUUAUUAUGAGACAUCUGCGGGAGUAUGUCUGUAUGUAUGCAGAUCCUGAAACUCAAACAGAAAUGUCUGGUCACAUCCUGGAAGAAGACUUUAAUGUUACUGUGACCACAAAAGUAACAAGGAAAUAACAUUAGAGCGACAAUGGCAAUAAUAUUUUAUCCUAACAUAAACUCCAAUAAAGAAAUAAACUACAAACAAAUGAAAAAUGGAAGAAAUUUACCAGAAAGUUGAUACAGCUAUUGAACUGGAGUAUAUAUGUUAUUACAGAACAGAACAAGAGCAGAGAUUUAAGGAACAUGAAAGGAUAUAAGAAAAUUAAACAGAUGUUUGAGUGUCCAAGUUUAAAAAUGAAUUCCCCAAGUAAUGUGGUGUUGAUGAAAUGCAGUAUCUCCAGUGAAGGAUGCUGUUUUGUAAUGAGGAAAAAUAGGUAGUGGGUUGGGUGUGGACACAAGUAUGUGAGACAGGUUGUAGGACAAUGCUUUAAAGAAAACAAAUCACUUGCCAAUGUACUCGUUUUGAAUUGAAUUAACAAACAAUAACUACACAGCAUAAAAAUGAAAAAAAAAAAAGAUUAACUCCAGUGCUUCUAAGUGCAUACCGUUUACUGUCUUCAGGUUCAUCCAAGAAAUCUAAGAGAAGCCUUUGAGUAAUCACUUUCCGAUUAAACUCUUUUCCUGCAUCAUUCAAUCCAUAAUCAUGGUCAUCCCAUGUUCCAAUAACCUGCAAUUAGUGAAUUUCAGUAGUGACACCACACCAGUUUCUCAUCUUUCAGAAGAGGAAAGAAGAAGCAGUGUUGAAAACUGUCAAUAAACUGUAAUAAACGAAGAGACAAAGAUGACACCCUAGCCCACAAAUGGAGAUUAAAAGUCUAUCCAAAAUGCUUUCUUCUCUGCCAUAGAACCAACUCGGGAGUGGGGACUGGGGUGUGGAGUGCCAUAGAACCAAUCCAUAUAUUCGAUUUUAUGUACGUUUGUCAUUAUUGUAAUGCUGUAUCAUCAGCAUAUCCAUGCUACAUCUUAUUGUAGUAUCAAUCAAUAUAACCCUCAAAUCCCAUGAGGCCAUGACACGAAAGCUGACAAAGCAAUUAGUCAGGAGCAGCUGCGAUCGUCCAUGAGGGGAAGAAAGCAAAGGAGGCCAGGCCUGACCUGAGCGGUCUCCCUGAGCCUGGCGUACCCGGGCUGCGCCCUGGCGAGCUGGUACCGCCUCCGCAGCUCCUUCUCGGUGGAAGGGUAGAAGCGCGGCGCGUUCUUCCAGGGCCCCACGGUGCGCUCCUUUCCGAAGACCCGGAAUGGGCGCUUGUUGUCGCCGUAGACGUUGUCCCCGAGCCAGACGAACACCUGCGGGUCGAACCCCACGACGGCGUCCCAAAUGGGCUGCACGAAAGUACGAAACAAUCCCCGUCACAACGAAUUGAUCGAAAUGGGAAUGGGAUGCGCGGGCAUGGCGCCGGCGUGGGGCGUUCCGUCGACCACCUGGGGCUCGCUCUGGUUGGCACAGGAUCCGAAGGCGAUCCUGGACACCACGGCGUCGGGGUCGGCGCGGGCGGAUGAGGACAGGAUUAUCAGGAGGAGGAGGGAGAGGAGAGGGAAGGUGGCCGCCAUUGCGGGUAGGGAGAGCGACGUACGAGCAAGCGAGCACACGGCAGGCAGCGGGCGAGACGAGACGAGACGGCGAGGAGGAAUUCUCAAUUGCGGGAGGUUGGCAGGAGAGAGGUCAGAGGUGGGAUGGAUAUCCCAAUUUCCAAGGCGCCGGAUCCCAGGCAGGAGAGGCCGAGCCGAGGGAGAGGUGGACGUGUGGUGGUGGGGGCGAUGCCGAUGGCGAUGGCAGGCGCAGACGCACGCUCUAGAAGAGAGAGCGAGGAAGAAAAGCUGGAAGCUCCUUGUUUGUUUGGCCUCACUUUUUCACCAGUUUCGUUUUAAACUAAUUAUAUAUAUAUAUAUAUUAAUUAAUGCGGUGGAAUUGUGUGGAAAACUACGUGCGGUGGUGUUGCUCCUCUUCUAACCAUUCCUUGGUCAACAAACCACGCGACACGCCGUGAUGAUGUUUCUAGAUAGAGACAACAACAUGCAGGGAUUUGCAAAUGUACCUAUAUAUGCUGUUGCUAGCAAUUCGGGAUUUGGAAAUCGUGUGGUUCGUCAAGAACAAAAGACAAGGGGAUUGCAAAUCCUGCUUCAUUGUGAAUUGAUGAUCAUGUCUUUGCUUGCCUUACGACCUGUUGCGAGAAGGAGAGACUUGGUUGGGACGAAACUGCAGCAGCCUUUCCGGCAUUUGCAAAGGAUGGGAGCCAAAAAGGCGUGAUCCGGAGUGAAAAGGGCUGCCAACUUGCUCUGCCUAAUUUACGUUUCGCCUUUUGCUUGGGAACUUUGCCACAUGUGCUAGCAAGUUUGCCGCAAACUGCGAAAGGCAUCACGUAACGUUGCUGUUCAAACUGAAGUUUCCAUUUCGAGCUCGAAUAUUUCCAGAGCUGUCACGUCUGUGUUAAGCAGAGAUAAGCUAUCUUUUGCAGGGGAUCAGAACAGUACUCAUUCACUACCAUUGCAAUUAACAUGAGAGAACCUACCUCGGCACGUGGAGCGCUGAGCUUCAGCACGAAGCAAAUUAUCAGACUUUAAUACUUUAUGAACGCUGCAAAACCAGCCUGAGGCAUCUGAUUCCAACAAAUACAUAGCAGCUACAUGCUACUCGUAUUUUCUACCAAACAUUCCAGACCACAAGUGCUAACACAAACAGAUAGAAGAGUCAUGAAAGAAACUAUCCAGAUUCGGCCAGGUUGCCAAGCUGCAAGCCUGCAACUCCAUACAGCAAAGAGCCUGUUACAUAGAGUCAGGGCUCAGGAACAUAAUACAUGGUCAACGAAGUACCUACAUUACAUGUCAUCUAGUCUAGAUUCCAACAACAUAUUACAGCAAUUGUGUUGCAUCAGUUUAUGUUUCCCCAGAUGGCCUGCCCCGAGGUCACUUUGUUGCUUGGCCUUGCUGUCAAUUCAUAUAGGAUCCGAGCAAAUGUGUCCGAGUAUUUCCCUUCUGAUGUCAGGAUCUCAGCAAAAGUGUUCUCAUGCACAAGGAGAUGCAUCCUGUUUUGAGGCUCAGAGACAAGGCUCUCCAGUAUCAUCGACGUCUUCCUGCAGACCUCAGGCACCGGAUGCGGCGUCUUCACGAUCUUUAGGAGUCUAUCGACAGCCCUGGUUCAAUUGACAUCGAAAUGGUAAAUUUUACAGACUGUAAUGCCCCUUCUCUGAUAUUAGGAUGCUUUGUCUAAUUGUAUGAAGUAGACAUUUACCAUCGCUCACUGGCAAGCUUGAGCCUGCAAUCCAUAUUCACUUCGGCUACAUUGUAGAGUGCACUAACAGCAGCAGCCUGUGCAUCAUAUGCUGGUACACUCAAUAGGUCAACUAGUCGUUUGUAUAUCUGCAUCAAGUAAACCAAUGUAAGUACGACACCUAAAGAGCUGAGAAACAGAUAGCUUUAUUCAAAUCCAUCUGCAUACCAUAAUGGUACAACAGUAAAUACUACUAAAUGCAAAGAGUGAUCCAAAUUCCAAAAAUACAUUUACCUGUGGAAUGACAGGAAGAAGAAAUGGCUCAUUGUCUGGAUUUAUUAUCAGACGGCCAAUCAAUUCAGCAGCGGCACAGUGCCAUGGCUUCACGGAAGAAGAAAGCAUACCCAUUAUGGCAUGAACUGCACCUUUCUCACUAUCUUGGCAAAGAGCAGGCAAAUGAGUAAACCUCAAGAUAGAAAUGAAUCGGUAAAGAAUAAUGCACUUCUAGACUCAUCUUACGUCAUUUUAAUGAACGAUGGCUUUGAUGAGCUGAAGAUCCUCAGGUCCAACACAGGUGCUAAAUUGACAAGGGUCUCCACCAUGUUUGUUAUGAGCUCGUCAUCUUCUGUUCAAUGACAAAUACCAGUACAACUUGAGUUCUCAAUUAUGUAUUAAAGUCUGUCGGAAAAAAUAGCUGGAGAUAUGUCACAUAGCCCCAGGAUAAAUAGCUCACUCAAGUUACAGCAGAUAGUCGAAUAGGAGUACAAACAUACCAAAAAAACAUAUAACUUUCACAUCAUCAAUAUUUUGCAGAGUUAGACCAAACACAAAGUUAAAAUAGGAACCAUAAAUAGCCAGUUUCUUUGCCAAGCUUGUGGAGAACUGAGCAAUAGCUCGGUUGCAGAGCCUCCUGCCUGGCAGACUGGCACCUUAAGACAAAGCCAAGGGAAAGUCACCCCGUGGGGAUUUUUCGCAGAUUAAUAAACAACCUAGAUGGAGCAUAUGCAGGUAAUAAUUGGACAAAACAUAAACUGCAGAAAACUUGAAGAGCCAAACACAUUCACAUAGCCUCAUUUGAUCAUCACCAAGUUAACCUAUAAACCAAAAAAACAAAGACACAGGACUAUUUCAAUAUUUACCUCUAUUCUGGUCCUCUAAGCAAUGAAAUAUUGACUCCAAGCAAUGCCUAUGUUGAACCAUGAUAAUCUCAUUUUCUGGCAUAAAAGAGAAAUUGCGGAUUAUAUUGGAGGCUGCAAUAGCGCACUGCUGCCUUUCUGCCCUCCCUUCAUCAUCAUUGUUAAACAAGCCAUCCUCAUCAAACCAAAAGCUUGCAGCGCGCUUCUUCGUGACACUGGAGUCUUCCGUCUUUGAUUGAUCAUUAUUAGAGGUACUGUAAUUAACACAUUUUAUAGAGCAUAAGUAUGGCAGCAAGUGCCAUGGAUACUGAGAUGAGUUGUCAGGAUCUUGGUAAGACUAGUAACAACAUACGUGGCAGUGUCAGAGUAGACUUUUUCCAUGUUCUCCUGGCCAAAGCCCGAGAGUGUUGUGUUGGCACCCAAAGUUCUUACUCUGGGUGGUUUCAGAUGGUCCUUAGGCAUUGAAAUAUCUCUCCAUUCAUCAAUCUGCACAAAAUAUCAAAGCAUAAGACAGAAUGCAAAAGAAAAAUGAUGGUAGCUUCUUUUAGAGGAGAUACCCUGGCACAUUAGUAUGUUAUUACUUAGCUAGAAUUUAAUUUGGUAUAAGAAACAUAUGAAUAAGAUGAGAUGAGAAAGUGCUUGGGUGACCCAGUAAUAAUUGGACCUCUUCUGACUUUAUUAGGAAGAAGCUUAUUGUUAGCUAUCAACAAGACAGACUCUUCCACAGUUAAAUCUAUCUGACGCAUUCCCUCUUUCUCUCCCUCUCUCAUCUCCAUGUAAAUGAUGUGACUGCCACAUGACAAAAAAAAAUGUUGUCGCUACAAAAUCACCAAAAAAUACCUAAACUCGUCCGAGGGCAUGGUUUACACCUGUUUUAUAUGAUUCUGGACAAAAAAGGGUGAACCCUUGUAGGAUAUGGGGAGAACUCUAGGCAGCCUUAUCUUUGAUCUCUUUUUUUUGCAACAUGUAGGAUAAAAUUUAGAACAAGUGAAGGUUUGGGAUUUGGGAAUCAUUAGAUGACCUUUUUUCCUUUGUAUUAUGGCUACAAACCUACAGUGGGCAAUGGUGCAUUGGUGCCAUAUCAUAGUAUGCAUGAGGUCAUUACCACUUUCUUCAAUGUUUCAUGUUGAACGGUGAUGCUAACUUGAUUAAAUCUAGUUCAAAUGCAUCCUAAUGCAAAUAAAACUAGCACUCAUUAACUCCUUAGCCAGACAGGACAAAGAUUAUGACAAAAAAAUUAAAAAAGGAAAUUGCAUGGUUUAGUAAAAGAUACAUCAAACUGGAAAGUAAAAAGGGAGACAUACAACUUGAAGAAGAGCAUCUAGGAGCCCAGGAACUUUAGCAAGAGGUGUUGUAUCACGUCGUUGGUCGUCUUUCUCCUUAAAUGAGAGUACUGUAAGGGCAUUCAGUGCCCACAGUAUCUCUGACUUCAACCCACUUUGCAAUGCAAGGACAAUUCUUUUGUUGUUCUGAUCUGUCAAAUAGCCAAUCCUGGAAACCGUUAUUACAAUAUGAUUACUUGUGCAGUUUAAGCACAUGAUGAAGAACAUGAGAUAUCAUCUCUAACAAACGGGAUAAAACAAGAGGACAAUAUAGACUCUAUGCAUCUUAAAUAUAGAGAGCAGGAUCACAAAAGAAGGUGGUCAUAAUUGUAGCAUGCCAUGAUUUGUCAGCUGUACAGAAUAGCUGUUUCCAUGGGAAAAUAAAAACAUGUACACACAUUAUAAAUCUGUAUAGUAAAAGUGCUUGGCUGCUUGCACCUACAUACACUUUCAAGCAAGGAUAUGUGCACAAGUAUAAAAAUAUCUAAGUCCAAUCUUAGUCAUCACAUAGAAACUCAGCUCUCAUUGAUAGGGCUCCAAUUCACAGCACCACACCAGAUAUGGAAUUUGUCAACCAAAUUAAAGUGGUUUAGAUAUUUAUAUUUACUCUAGAAUAGAAACACGAUGAUACAAUACAACCAAGUAGUCUCAGUGUAUUCCAGUUCCAGUUUCAUGUAUUUUAGAGCAAGGAAUACCCAACCUCAACAACUCCUGGAGCUGGAGCUGUGCCAUAAAGGUUUGGCAGCCAUGCAACAGAAAUCAUUACAGCUAACUUGGCUUGCAACACAAUUCAAACUGGAAAUGAAGCAUAUUACAAACUUCUAAGAAUAAAAAAGAAAUGGAACUGAAAAAAAAAAAGUCUAAACUGGAUAUUAAGGCCAGAUUCAAAGUCGUUUGGAACUCUAUAACCUAAUCCAGGCCUGAAUUAUGUGUCUAAGUAUUGGAGGUGGAGCAGUGGUCUGAAAGAUAGCCCGUUAGUGUUCUAUUGUAUCACACUGAUUUGAUAAAGGGUUCAGUUGUGGGGUCAAACUUUUAUCAUUAUGUGCAAACUUUGCUACUCUGCGGACUGUUUCAAGAGUAUGAGCUGGGAUCUGAAGGGAGCAGAAAGUUAAGCUAAAUUAAAUGGUAAAUGCACUGUUUUAGUUUGCAUGACUGUGAUGGUUAAGAUUUUAUUUGACAGUCUACACAAUAACACAACGGUUUUGCAGUAAUACCUCAGCAUAGUGGCUUUGCCAACAUAAGACAACAUGACAAUGAUGUUGUUUCUGAGAAAACAACAAACCACAACAAACUGACCCCAGAUCCCCCCAUAAAACGUGCACUCAGAUGCGAAAAUCUUGGACCCCAACGCAUUAUGCCUCCAAUGUCAAUACCAAGCACAUAAAAAUUAAACUGACGUCUCCAGCUCCAGCUGAAAGAGAGGAUUAUUCAAAGUCUAAAGCCCCCAAUUUGCAUCUGACAACUCUACCCUAAGGAACAGAGGCAAGAGCAAUAAUUCAGAGUACCUACCAACACCCCAGUUCAUCAGUCUCCAUGCCCUAGAAACCCAUAUAGGCUCAGAUGAACUGCAGAAGCAGACGAAUGGGCGAAUUACCUGACAGGGCUGAUAGGACUUGGAGGGACGGCCCAACCAGCGCGGCGGACGCACCCGGGUCGACGACCGCAGCCGCCGCGGCAGCGGCCGCGGCUCCGCCGCCGGUGGUGCUCCCGAACGGGCGGCCGCGCUUCGCCGGCGUGCCUCCACCGGUCCCACCAGACUUGCCUGACUGCUUCUGCAUAGCUAGGGUUUUGGAGCUCGGAGCUUGGAGGCGGAGUGAUCGAAAACGUCGUGGUCGGAGCUCGGAAUUGGGUGGGCAGUUGGGCACUGGCGCACCGCGACGGAGGCAGACAAGGGUGGCCGCAGGAUCUUUACUCGGAUGGUGGAGAUUGAACGGACUGCUUGCCGUUGCUCUACAGAUCUGGCUAUUCAGGUCGGCCCGAUGGCAGUCCCAACUCCAAACCUAAAGUCUGUUUUUUUCCUUAAUAGGUAAAUGUCCGUGCGUUGCUACGGGAAUCUUAAAAUUUUCAAUACAAUUUAACACAAUAAAAGUAGAAAAAAAUAGCAGGUUAAGAGCUUAAAUUUUCAACACAAUAAGAGUAUCAAAAAGUAGUAGAUCAAAAUAAAGACAAAUAAUUUUUUAACUUGCUUGGCAACAUAAUGUUUUGAUCCACAUUUAAAUAAAUAAAUGUCAAAUUUAUUAACAAUAUCAAAAUAAGCGUAUGAUAGAUAAAUCCUCCACUCUCUUUCAUUGUCUUAUCCCCGUUAUGCAGGUAAGAUAUUCUCGUAUGAAUAGAGGACUAACGCGCCACUGUGAAUUCCCAUCAUAUGCCAAUGCCCGUAUAUUGCUAUGGGUGAAAUCUUAUAUUAAUUCAGUUUAUUGCUCCAAUAAAAAAUUUUCAAAAAGAUGUUGACGUCAAUAAUGAAGAUAAAGCGAUAUAUGAUUUAUUUUUGCAUCACCGGUAUAAGUGGAAAUGAAAUAUUAAUCAAACUUAACUAUACAAGGCAUGCAUAUCAACAAAAUGCAGCAUUGUUGAAAUGCGCGUACGUUUGCAACGGGGAGAUAUAAUGCUAUGAUAAUAUGAAUAUGAAUGUGUGUUGUAUUGUUAUCAGAAAAAAAUAAUACUUCGAGCAUGACGGUUCUCGGAAGUUUGGAGUUCAAAGGGCAAUAAUACAAUAUACAACUCAACACCGGUAUCACAAUGCUCAACUCAAACAACAACAGAGUGAACCGAGAAGGAAAUAUUGUAAUUUAACACAAAGGAUAAUGGUGCAUGCAGUGAAAGUCUCCCGUCUCCUCCACGGUUGAGUCCUAACCCUUGCAAGUUGCAAGUGGUAAUACUCCCAUGCAGUCUUCAAAGUAUCAAUUGCCUUUAUAAUCCCACAUCCAACCUUGAUUAUGUCACUACCCUAUAGUUUAUCAUCUGAACUGCAAAUCCAAGAUGCAAGUGACAUGGUGUAUCAGAUAAUACAAAGGUUAUAGAAAAAAAAUAAUAGCUCAAAUCCUUUUGAGCGCUAAAGGCAAGAGAACCUACAACUGAACCAUAAAUCAAAAUUUGGACAUAAGAGAUGGUAGCAAAAAUCCUGAAUAUGCCAGAGAUGCUGUGCAACAAGAUUCUAAUUUUAUUAUGAAAAUGGUGAAUAGUACGAAAUGCAGUAAAUGCUGGAGACAAGCAGCUAACCCCUACUGCUAUUGCCGGAUCUGUUGAUAGUUGGUUACUGAAAUUCAGAGAAAGCGAAAGCUUACUAUAGCAUGUCCAACAACGGUCGGAUGCACCUGGAAACCUCCCCCAUUAGACAUGCUGAAAAUCAACGUAGAUGGUGCUUUUGCCCAAGCUAACAGAAAGGGGGCUAGGGCUUCAUAUAAUGUUAUGAUCAUACAAGUGAUGGUGUUCUAGCAGGUGCAGGCAAUGUAUCGGCUCAUCAAGGCAAGGACUUAGUAUUGGUUCAUCACACAGUUUUGCAGUGAAGUGAGUCACUGCUUCUAAUAGCUUGUCAUGCUCUAAUCUGAAUUUUCUCUCUAAGCAAAUGUUUUUCUCUGAAACUUAUCUCAAAACAAAGGUCUGAAGAUCCAAUUUUCUCCCUAGAAUCUAAAUAACGUCCAUUCACAUUCUUUCAUAACUAUAUUAGGACUUGUUGUUUAUCUGAUGAAACUAAAAAUUCUGAACAUUGUCCAGUAACCCAAAACAAUGGAUCAAUUUCAGUACAUGUAGUUUAUCUGCUAAUUAAUUCAACAAUUCAAUAUGAGAUGAGAUCCGUCAUGCUGGAGCUUGGUGUAGUGUAGUGUAGGCAGAGAGAUAGAUUCAUAUGAGAUGAGAUCGAUAAGUACUCCAAGUUCAAGAUAGGAUGAUUAUUAGUCAGUAUACAUACCACAGGCUCAUAGCUUAAACGCAGGCGCACCAACCUUUCGAUGUGAGGGCGAGGCUCCAGCUGCAGUUGCAGCUUCAGGUUCAGGUUCAGGUUCAGGUAGGGAGAAACCCAUGGCAGCGGCAGCUGCGCGCACCGGCACCAGCCUUUCCACAGCUUUCCUUUCUUUUCGGCUGUUGCUGCCACCGUGGAGGGUCCACCUCCCGUUACUUUCUCCUCCCUCCCAUUCAUUAUUACCAACCAACUAACCCAUCACCCAUCAUGAGGAUUGACGAUUGAGGAAGAGGAAACAUCUCGCACAGCACAGCACAGCACAACAGUAGAAUACGGCAAAUCUGCAUCUCCGGCUCCAAGCUUGUGUUUCUCCUGCUGCUUUGCGCCAUGGUGCUGCCGACAGGCAUAUCCUCUGCAAAGAUCCAUGGUAAAAUCAAUCAAUAUCGAAUCUCAGAGUCCUACUUGGUUGUGCUCAAAUUGAUUUGCCAGCGCUUGUGCUUUGUGCUUGCUCAAAUUGAUGGCGAUGGCGGUCGUGGCAAGGAACCCAACCAACAACCUUGUGGCCCUCAUCAACGGCAGGAGGGCGGUGAGCAAGCUGCCUGCGCUGUGCAACAGCAGGGGCCUCGGGUGCAUGACGCUGCAGUACAUCUCCGAGUGCAUGUCCACGGGCCCGCCGCCGCCUGCAGCAGCGGCAACAGCAACACGGUGGUGUGCCAGCCUCCCGAGACACACAUCACGGAGGUCUUCGCCGCCAACUGCGGCGUGGAGCUCCCCACGGUGGACGUCAUCUCCGGCUGCCACAAGGACCGCGAUGGACCGGAGGAUGCGCUGCAGGCCGUGCUGGCAGCAGCCACCGGCAACAGCAGCACCAAUGCCACCCAGGCAGCCGCGCUGGCGGUGAUCCGCGGCAAGGAGCACACCCAGGUGGGCGCCGGCUUCGAUCGGGCGCACCGCCGCAGACCCUUCUUCUGGUGCCUCUUCUUCAGCAGCGGCAGCGCCAACUCCACCUUCCUGCUUCAGCGCUCCAGAUCGACCCUCGUGCAACGCCGCGCCGCCGCGCGCCGGACACCUCGCAGUCACGCACAGAGAAGGGGAGUGGGCGAUGGGUGAGAGGAAGCUAGACACAGAUAGCCGGCUCACUAUUGUUGGGCGAGGGAGAGUUGAGAAGGAGGUUGGAGCGAGGGAGAGCUGGGGAGUCGCGCCGUUGAGUCCUGGAGGGAGACGCGGGGAGUCAGGUGCGGGGACGGGGCGGGGCGAGGCGAAGGAGCGUUGUGGACGAUUGCUUUUGCUAUGUAUUAGUUGUAGAGAUUUGAUAAAUUUUAACUUCAAUUGGCUAAUAACUCAUAGCUGAAAGUACUCUUUACUGAUUUGUUAUGAGAGAAAAACACUAUUGAAUAGCUGGCAGAUUCGGCAGAUAAGCUUAAGCGAACAGACUUGAGUCGAUAGUCGUGCAUUUUUAGCAAUUUUGCAAACUUGUAGUCUUCUUUCUUGAGUGAUUUUCAUCAGUUUAGGAGAUUAAUGGCCGCAAGGACCAAUGCCCAGGGUGUAUGUGUGGAGAUCCCACAUAUAUAAAAUCAACAAGAGUUUGAUUAUCAAUAAAUAGCAUCACCUUCUGAGUAUAGGUUGCAGCGCUUCUCAGCAACUAUUCACUGAGAAAGUCAUAGCUGAAAUUACUAUUCGCUGAUUGUUGUAAGGUAAAACACUGCUUAAUGGCUAGCAGAUUUGGCAGAUAAACUCAAGCGAACAGGCACGUAAGUCAGGGGGUUCAUUCGCUUCUGCUUGAUAGUCAUUGCGGCAGUGGUAGUAGUUAUCACUAUAGUAGUAUCGAUGUCUGGACUAGCGGUCCUGACGCUAACAAGUAAAUUUGUGUCUGCGUGCCCAUUUACCCAGAUGGUGAUGCAAGAAGGACACGAGAUGUUUAUACUGGUUCAGGCCGGAUGUGCCCUACGUCUAGUGUGAUGAGGAGAUUCGUGUUAUCUUGCGCCUGAAGUGCUCGUAGUAGGGGUUAUAAGCUGGCUACAAGAGAGAGUACGUCGCAGGUCUCGACUUUGUGUGUUCUAGUGGGAUUGUCUAUGUGUGUGUUGUUCCCCCUUGAAUGGGACCCUGCCUCCCCUUUUAUAGUCUCAAGGGGAGACAGAGGUUACAUAUGUUAGUGCUAUGGUACCACGGCCUUAGUUCGAGGCAUGAGUUAAGGUAUGGCGUUAUGAAGUGACGGUGAGGUGCUUCAUUCUUGAUGCUGUAGUUGAUUGUGAUCGUGGUAUGGGUGCUCCCGUUGUUGUAGUGUUAGUGCGGAGCCAUGUCGGUUCAAGGGACAAGAUGUUUUGACCCUUGUUCAUUCUCCUAUGUUGAGUUCUAAGGCUCUUUCCCUUCGGUUUAGGGGGCUCUGUUGAAGUCGUGGCUACAACGGCUAGGAUUGACCCACCCAUUACCCCUGACGCGACUGUACGCAUAGUGACAGGGACAGGUGGCAUAGUUUCGGUCAUGUCCUGUACCGUGCGACGUGGGUGGGGACGUGUCUUGCAUCUUAUCCACCGUACUGUGGUGCUUGGCGUAUCUGAGAAGCCUCGAGCACUUCGUUGGGAGUGGGGCGCCCGAGGCUGGACUCGAGCGAGACAGAGAAUACCCAAGGCUUCGGUUAGACCUCGGGCGAGAUGAAAGUUGCACGAGGCUUGGCCUCGGGUGAGACGGACAUCGUCCUAUAAAAAUCUGAGGCUUAGUUUGGUUUUUAUUGGGGUGCCUUUCCACUGACCCAUUUGCCCUUAUUGUUAUUUAAUUUUGAAAAGAAGAUUAGGGUGCUCAUGACCUCAAUUUGAGUACCCUAGUUUAUGAUAUCCAAUAAGUAGAUAACAGUUUUUGGGUCAAAACCACGGCCAUAGUUAGCGUUAAAGUGCAUUUAAACAGACCACUAGUUUCUAUACCGAUGAAUGUUUUCUUCAAAAGUAACCUAAUUUCUAUAGUAUUACCAAGGCCAUAUUUGAUAUAACUUAUAAGCUGCCUAUUGUUACAAAAGGUUGAGAUUAAAACUAAACUGUAUGUAUUUUUAACGUUUUUUCUGACUAUAUUUUUCUCCAUGCACAACACUCUUUUGUACUAAAAAGUAGAAGCUGAGUCCGACCAAUUUAUUUGUAGCUACUCUUUUGCUUUAUUUGUACAGAUUCUCGUAGAAACAUUUUUUUUAUUGCUAUACCCAACAGUGCCUAAGAGCAUCUCCAACAGUUUUACAAUUUAUUUUUGACUAAACAUAGAGUUUGUUAAGUCUUAAAUUAAUAUAGUGAGAAGAAAAAAAGUUUACCUCCAAUGGUUUGACAAAAUUGACUUGGCAAAACCCAAAGUGUGGACCUAGCGAUUAUUUUUUCAGGCGAAAAUUUUCUUCGCGUCAUCAACUCGGUCGUGCGUCUUUCUUCGCGCGCUAUUCCUGGCGCCGCCGCCUUCCAGUUCCCAGUCGUGUGUGCACUUGAAGGAAGAGAAUAGAUCAAGGUGGAGAUUGCAUGCAGCCGCCAGGGCUUCUUGGAAUGCAGUUAGCGUACUAGAAGAUCAGGGCGACGGAGACGGCUUUAGCCAGGUCGGGCUAAAUCAGCUAGCCACCGGGGGUUGCUGUUGUUGUACUCUAUAGCGUCGUCGCCAUAUCCUCGUCCUGGACGAAAUCCAUGUUGCCGACGACUCCACCAAGCAGGCUUGCGCUGCGGAACCGAAAGAUCGCGGCCUCCAACUUUCCACGGGAAGAAAACGGCGGCGGCAGGGAAACCACACGUGGGGAAGGAAAACACGCAGGGUUAUACGAUGCCAAGCGCAAUACACGGUUGGCAUAUAUGCCAAACCUAGCCAGGAAUUUACCAAGUUAACAAAAAUGCAAAGCUCAUUUGCCAAACCAUUGAAUAUAAAUUUUUAAGACUUUUUUGCAAAAACAAAAAUAAAAAGCCGAUUUGCAAAAUCGUUAGAGAUGCUCUAAGGCCUUGUUCAGUUCUAGAAAAUUUUUGAUUUUGGCUACUAUAGCAUUUUCAUUUGUAUUUGAUAAAUUUUAUCUAAUCAUGGACUAACUAGGCUCAAAAGAUUUAUCUUAUAAAUUACAGGCAAAUAUGUAAUUAUAUUUUGUUUUCAUCUAUAUUUAAUGCUUCAUAUAUACGUCCAAAGAUUUAAUGUGACGGAAAAUCUGCAAAAGUUUUGGGAACUACCUAAGUCAGGCCUUGUUCAGUUUGGGAAAUUUUUUGGAUUUUGACACUGUAUCACUUUCGUUUUUAUUUGACAAACAUUGUCCAAUCAUGGAGUAACUAGACUCAAAAUAUUCAUCUCGCGAUUUACAGAUAAACUGUACAAUUAGUUUUUGGUUUCAUAUAUAUUUAACGCACCAUGCAUGUGCCGCAAGAUUCGAUGUGAUGGGGAAUCUUGAAAAUUUUUGGUAACUGCCUCAAUGGAUUCACUCGUAGUACUAUCUACAGUGCAGUCAGGAUGGUUGGGUUGUGCAUUGUAUGUUUGUUGUUAGUAAAAAAACAUUAACUAAAGAAAAAAAAAAGAGCUUGGUGAGAGGAGGUCAGUGAGUGAACCAAACUGUAGCUGUGUGAACAAGGCCUCAAACAAAGCCUCACCAGGCCCUCCUGCCCUCCAGUGGCUGGAGUGACAGGCGCGCGCCACCGGGCCUGGCAGCGCUCGUCGAGGCUGCGUUCCUUUCUAAACUGGGUUGCUGUGCCUUCGAUUACCGGUACGGCACUACUAGAGAGCGUGGACAAUAACGUGGUUUUUUUAAUUUUUAUUUAUUUACGUGAUGGCCAUGCACGAGAGCAGUCUAGGCACAGGAGGGCCCAUCACGCAAAAAAUCUCGUGCCUUCCUGUUUGGCCUUCUUUGUUGAAAAAAAAUUAUGGUUUUUCUCCCUCGACUAUCACAAAAGUUUUAUUUUUCUCCCUCAACUCUAAAAUCGGAUAAACCACCUCCCUCAAUUUUUUAAACCGUGUAUUUUAGCUCUCUAGAGUGGUUUAGAGUGGUUUCGAAGGAGGCUACAGUAAAGGGUGGUUUUGCAACAGUAAUGAUGGUUUUAUCUUUUUUUUAACUAUUUCAACUGAAUUUUCAAAAAUCAUAGUAAAUCACUAAAAAAUAUAUAAUAGAAAAUUUAAUUUUUUUUGGACUCCACAUAAGUAGAUCUACAUAAUAAACAUAUAAUAUGGUAUGUUUUAGUAUAAAGUUUUAGCUAUAAAGGGUUUGUCUUUUUAUUUUUAAUUUCUUUUGGCUAAAUAUUUGAAAAAUCAUAGUGAAUUACAGGAAAAAUAUAAAAUAGAAAAUAUAAUUUUGUUAGACUCUACAUGAGCAUAUUUACACAAUAAAUAUAUAAUGUGGUAUACUUUAGUAUAAAUUUUUUGUUGUACCUCUAGAUCUAUGCUUUUCUGUAAUUAAUUGAAAUAUUUCAUAGUUGUAGCUUUUGUAGUUAUUUUGUCGGACUAAAGCAUACAUAUAUUAUAUGUUUAUUGUGUAUAUAUACUCACGUGGACUCCAAAAAAUUAGAUUUUCUAUUUUUUAUGAUUUACUAUAAUUUUUCAAAGAUUAAGCCAAAUAAAUAAAAAAAGAAAAAAAUACUAAACCUUUAUAGCAAUAACUUUGUGUUAAAGUAUACCGUAUUAUAUGUUUACUGUAUAGAUCUACUUACGUGGAGUCUAAAAAAAUUAGAUUUUCAUUUUAUGAUUUACUAUGAUUUUUUAAAGAUUUAGCCGAAAUAAUUAAAAAGAAAAAAGACAAAACCAGCAUCACUGUAAGAAAACCACCAUUCACUAUAGCAAAACCGACUUCGAAACCGCUCCAGGGAGGUAAAAUAUACAGUUUGAAAAAGUUAAGGGAGGUGGUUUGUCCGGUUUUAAAGUUGAGGAAAAGCCGAAUUUUAUAAAAGUUGAGGGAGUCUCAAGUUACCGGCAAAAACCCAACAUCGACUGUACGCAUGCGCAGGCCAGCAGGACAGAGAACUCAAUGUGGCAUGCGUCGAUCACAGGCACCGCGCCUCACGGGCGGGUCCGUGAAGCCGCCUUGGCCAAGAAAGGUGCCAAGAAACAGAGGUGGUUGUGAGCAUCCACUGGUGUCAAGAACCCUGCUUGAAUUAGCAUUCUUAGGGGAUGUUUAAGACCGCUCCACGAACUCUGCUUCACAAACUGCAUUGUGGAGUAGCUCCACAAAAAACUGAAGUUUAUGGAGCAGCUCUUUAGAUGCUCUUACAACUCCACUCCUUUUUUUUUUGUUGAACUGGGUUCGUGGAACUGAAACCGUUUAGCUAAAAAAUAUGAAGCGGAGCUGAAAAAUGUGGAGCAGAGCAGUCCCAAACACCCCUUUAACUUCACAAAAAGUAAUUCUGGAGUGAUGCACUUUCAGGAUCAACACGAUGUCCAACCAAGCUUUGCGGCCGGGCAUUCAUAGACCAUGGCAGUAUGGCACUAUAUUCCCUUACCCGAUGUGAGAUCAUGUAAAUACAGCUUACGAACUGAUGAUAGAUAAUUAGCGAUUAGCCGAUUAUGAUCUCUGUUCGAGAUGUGAAAACUAGAAGAGUGCAGAACCAUCAGUAGUUUUAUACCUUUCCAAAGUUUGGGCAUGUAUAUAUCACUUCUCCAUCCAUUCAGAAGUACAACCAAGACGAAAAUGGUGACAGCACUUAGUUACAAGUUUUUGGAUUGCCUGGUGUAUACUCUGCACAAUGAAUUAAUCAUAAUGAAUUGGUGAAAAAAUGUUCAGACACCAAGAUAAACUGCUUAGGAAAAUUUUAUUUGAACACAAACCUUCCAUACAGGUAGGGCAGACAUCCUCAACUUCUGAAGCUAGACAGCUCAUAGCUGCUACUACAUAUAAACUUUUGCAGACAAAACUCCAAUAGUCGAUUCAGAACGAUGGACCUUAUAUUCAUCCUCAUUUUCAGUGUUGCAUCACUGAAUAAGAUUUUUUCAUAGUAUCACCAAAUUACUAAAUCUACGUUUGCAUGUAUGUUGAAGUAAAGAACAAAAAAAAGAGUUGGUGAGAGGGGUUAGUGAGUGAACCAGAACAACCACACGGGACUAAUCCCGCAUGGAAACCCAAGGAGAUGUACUAAUAGGCCUAUAAAUGAUGGACACUAGAGCCCAGCAUCUAGGAGGCCUCCAAAAUGCUGGGGAACCUAGGCCCGACCUAUCGCCGUUUCGGCGGCGAGCUCCACAGGCCAAUUGCCCGUGUCGAAGACACGGUUGAGCUCUGGCUCCAACUCACAACCCAGGCUGAGGCCCAAAUAUCAAUUCAUUCCAUUUCGAUUCAUGUUCCUCCCGCAGCUGGCCCAGCACUUUGUCACUGCACCAACUCUUUUGCCCUCCAGUGGCUGGAGUGACAGGCCCGCGCCACCGGACCUGGC
rnacentral:lncRNA from 1 species